ACGCCAGUAGCAGAGUGGCUAACCCUUCACGUUUUAGUCGAUGCGACCAGGGAUCGAAUCCCCACGGGCGCA
rnacentral:tRNA from 1 species